rnacentral:tRNA from 1 species
GGGUGGUUAGCUCAGCUGGGAGAGCGCCUGCCUUGCACGCAGGAGGUCAGGAGUUCGAUCCUCCUACUAUCCA